GCUGUCGUGGCCGAGUGGUGAAGGCGUUGGACUAGAGAUCCAUUAAGGUCUCCCCGCGCAGGUUCGAAUCCUGUCGACUGUG
rnacentral:tRNA from 2 species